GGACACCAAAGCACUACUACAAGGAAUGAGAGAAAUGUGUUUUUUACUGAACUCAGCAGUGGGAUACAACAUUAACAUUGGGUGGGACUUCUUUAAGUUAAAUGGCCUGUACAUCAGUGUGAUUCAUGCCUCUUUAAUUUUUCCUAGUGCUGAAUUUGGCAAGUCUCUUUAGCUGCCACAGAACCUGAGUGCUGCAAAACUCACAUCAGUGUUGUUAGGCACAGCAGCUCAAGUAGUUCCAGAAUCUCACCCUGUGAACAAAGAAUGCUGGAAAUCACUUGGCCAUGGGAGACUCUGUGCUCAGCCAGAAUGCCAUCUAUAUCCUGACUGUUCUCCAAGGAUCUUCUGCUCUUGUCCUCACAGGCAACCUGGUGGCAUGCUUGUCUUUCUCUCUCCUCACUACCCUCAUCCCAACUAUAAGACAAAUGGCCUUUCAGGCCUCAAUCAAAAAUGACACAAGACAACAGAUGGAUGCAAGUACACAGGGAAAACAGAAGACAAAACAUUUAUUCAUUUAGUAAGCAUGAGCCACAGUGCACCAGCUGCUCAGGACAUUACUACAGCAAUUUUAUGGGAAGAACAUGAAACGAGUGAAAACACAUGGAGAAGGGAGCUUAUGUAUAUAGUACAUUGUCAGCUUAGCCAACAUACAUAAAGUUUAUUCAUAAUUCAACUAUUUUUUUUCAUUUUUUCAUAAGACGGGGGAGAAUGACAGCAAUACUGACUGAGUCCAUGGACUUGGUUCCGUAUGUGUUAAAUAAUCUGUAACAGAUUUCCAAAUAAUGUAACAAACCACCAACUGUAAUGAAGGCA